UUUUCCUCCACCACUUCCAGUCUACAAGAAGCCACUCCCACCUCCAGUUCCAAUCUACAAGCCAGAGCCAAAACCACCAGUCUUCAAGCCUCCUCCGGUCCCAAUCUACAAGAAGCCACUCCCACCUCCAGUUCCAAUCUACAAGCCAGAGCCAAAACCACCAGUCUUCAAGCCUCCUCCGGUCCCAAUCUACAAGCCAAAACCACCAGUCUUCAAGCCUCCUCCGAUCCCAAUCUACAAGAAGCCACUCCCACCUCCAGUUCCAAUCUACAAGCCAGAGCCAAAACCACCAGUCUUCAAGCCUCCUCCGGUCCCAAUCUACAAGAAGCCACUCCCACCUCCAGUUCCAAUCUACAAGCCAGAGCCAAAACCACCAGUUUUCAAGCCUCCUCCGGUCCCAAUCUACAAGCCAAAACCACCAGUCUUCAAGCCUCCUCCGGUCCCAAUCUAUAAGAAGCCACUCCCACCUCCAGUUCCAAUCUACAAGCCAGAGCCAAAACCACCAGUUUUCAAGCCUCCUCCGGUCCCAAUCUACAAGCCAAAACCACCAGUCUUCAAACCCCCUCCUGUUCCAGUCUACAAACCAAAGCCAAAACCACCAAUCUACAAGCCUCUCCCACCUCCUGUUCCCAUCUCCAAGCCUCUCCCUCCAAUCCCAAAGAUCCCUCCAUUUUAUAAGAAGCCAUUGCCCC
rnacentral:lncRNA from 1 species